AGUGUUGGCCUCCCAUAGCCACUAAGUGUAGGGUCUUAGAUUGGACCUUGUAGACCUCUGGGAAGGUGUGGAUGGGCCUUUGGAGGUCUUUAAGCUGUCCCCAACGCCAGCGAUGUUUAUGUGCGUAUCUACCUUUCUCUGGGGAGGGGUUCAGUGAAGUUUCAUUUGGAUCUCAUGAGGGUCCCUAGCCCCAAGAGAAGAGAACCACAGCUUGCACUGGUUACAGUGUUUCUGUUUUAUACCAAACCCUCCAUGAAUUCUCCCACCCUCUAUGACCUCCAUUCACCCUCCAUUACCCCACUGUCUCCUUCAGUCCUAAUGCUCUCAUUGCCAGUACAUGCCUUACCCUGCAACACCCCCAACCGCAGCCCCACUGCUUUUGGCGUCUACCACUGUGUCCGUGGACGGUCUUCCUCUGGCUCUGACUUUUCCUCACCCCGCGCCCGGGGCCCGCCUUCUUCCCUGGGAUUGCACUGCCUACCUGUGCCUGGCUUUCUUCACCAAUGACCUGAGUGUGGGAGAGAGGUUGAGGAUGUGGGUGUAGGAGGGGAGAGAGGAGGGGAAAAGCAGAAGAAGAAAGUGAAAGAAGCUCCAGCGGAAACCAUAGGGCUUGUAGGGAGGGAGGGGUUGUUGCCACGGUAACCCCUGGCUUUGGGGGAGGGGUAGGCUGAAGAAGUCCACCCAGAGAAGGAGCCCCUGCUCAGGCUACGCUGCUGCGCUGCUCUUCCAUGCCAGAGUGCCCCGGUGAGACUGGCAUUUUGCUAGGCGCUCUGGCUCCAGCCGGUCCUUGCCCACCAGCAGGGCCCCUUGUGGUAAAGGAGAGACCUAUGGACACAGACCAUGUCCAGUUCCUCUCAAAGCUUUCCGUGGUCAAGUGUGCGCAGGCCAGGGGAGAAUAUUUUCCACCAGCUCUUCUCCUUGCCGCCUUCUGUGCUCUGUGCCAGCUCCAGCUACCUUUUCUACAUUCUGCCUCUUCCGGUUCACCUCCACCCCUUUCCCAGGCCCCACCACUAUCUUGGCUCUUUGGCCCACUCUCGUUCUGAGCCUGGCCCUGUGGCUCUCUUUCCCACUUCAGCUGUCUUGACCUUGAAUUUCUCAAAGCCUCUCCACCUCUCACCUCCAUUGCUUCUCAUGCACUGAUUCUCUUAUCAAGUCCAUAGUUUGUUCUCUUCUAAGCAAUUGAUGUGACAUCGCAUUUAAUUCUCACAGCAAUCCUUUGAGUUCCACUCCACCCAUGAGAAGGCAGCUUACCUGAGAUCCUGCCACCAGUAAGUGAUGGACCUGGGAUUUGGGCUCCAGAAGUUUGGCUCCAGAGCCCACGAAAUUAAGCAUUUACUGUGAUACAGUGCACAUUGGCUUUUCAAAAUGAACGUCACUCACUAAUUUCCCCCUCUACAGUACUUAAAUGACUUCCAUAUUCUUCCUUCCUAUUAUGUUCCUAUGUGAGGAAGUGGUAAGAUCAUCAAUACUGGAGGCAGGCAGAUCUAGAUUUACAUCCCAGACAAGCUAGUUGCUACUUGUGUGACCUUGGGCAAAGUUCUUUAAUUCUUACCUCUAAGUCUCUACAUCUGUAAAAGUAGGGGUCUGGGGGCAUGUCCUGAAGCUGUUGUGAGGAUUAAUUACCACAUCAUGAUCCACCCAGCACAUGCUCGGUGCUCAACAGGUGACCUCUGCUUCUUUCUUCCAGAUCCCUCUAUCAUCAACCCCCUUGGCCCAGUUCCACCCCUAUCUGCUCCACCUUCUCCUAGAUCGGUCACCCCCACUACCCCCAAAACCUUCCCCCACCCUGGGGCGUGUCACUUCCUCCUCCGCAGCCUCCCAGAUCAGUACACAAAGGCUGCCGCUGCCUCCGGAGGAAGGGCUGCUUUGCACGCACCUGCCAUGGUGGCUUUGUCAGUGGGGCUUCUUUUCCUACUGGCCCUGAGCAGAAGUGAGAGUGAGUUGGACGCCAAGAUCUCAUCCCUAGGGGAGGUUGCAGAAUGGGUGGAUCCUGAUGUAUCCCUGCCCGGGUCCUGCCAACCAGCCCCCUCCUGCCAGAAGUGCAUCCUCUCACACCCAAGUUGUGCAUGGUGCAAGCAACUGAACUUCACCGCGUCUGGGAAGGCGGAGGCGCAGCGCUGCGCCCGGCGAGAGGAGCUGCUGGCUCGGGGCUGCCCUCCAGGAGAGCUGGAGGAGCCCCGCGGCCGGCUGGAGGUGCUGCAGGACAAGCUCCUCAGCCAGGGCGCCCACGGCGAGGCAGCCACCCAGCUGGCACCGCAGCGUGUCCGGCUCACACUGCGGCCGGGGGAGCCCCAGCAGCUCCUGGUCCGGUUUCUCCGUGCCGAGGGAUACCCUGUGGACCUGUACUACCUUAUGGAUCUGAGCUACUCUAUGAAGGAUGACCUGGAGCACGUGCGCCAGCUCGGGCAGGCCCUGCUGGUGCGGCUGCAGGAGGUCACCCAUUUCGUGCGUAUCGGCUUUGGCUCCUUUGUUGACAAAACGGUGCUGCCCUUCGUGAGCACAGUGCCUGCCAAGCUUCGCCACCCCUGCCCCACCCGGCUGGAGCGCUGCCAGCCACCCUUCAGCUUUCACCAUGUGCUGUCCCUGACCGAGGAUGCUAAGGCCUUUGAACAGGAGGUGGGGCGCCAGAAUGUGUCAGGCAACCUGGAUUCGCCCGAAGGUGGCUUUGAUGCCAUUCUGCAGGCUGCACUCUGUCAGGAGAAGAUUGGCUGGAGAAAUGUGUCCAGGUUGCUGGUGUUCACUUCAGAUGACACAUUCCACACAGCUGGGGAUGGGAAGUUGGGUGGCAUUUUCAUGCCCAGCGAUGGGCACUGCCACUUGGACGAAAAUGGCAUCUACAGUCGCAGCCCAGAGUUUGACUACCCCUCUGUGGGCCAGGUAGCUCAGGCCCUCUCUGCUGCAAACAUCCAGCCCAUCUUUGCUGUCACCAGGGCCACACUGCCUGUAUACCAGGAGCUGAGUAAGCUGAUUCCUAAGUCUGUAGUGGGGGAGCUGAGUGAGAACUCCAGCAAUGUGGUUCAGCUCAUCAUGGAUGCAUAUGACAACCUGUCAUCCACUGUCACUCUGGAACACUCUCCACUCCCUCCUGGGAUCCACAUCUCCUACGAAUCUCAGUGUGGGGAUUCUGGGAAGAGGGAGGGUGAGGCUGCGGAUCGGGGCCAGUGCAACCAUGUCCGAAUCAACCAGAUGGUGAAUUUUUCAGUUACUCUUCAAGCUACCAAGUGCCUCUCAGAGCCCCACAUUCUGAAGUUCCGAGCUCUUGGCUUCUCAGAGGAGCUGACUGUGGAGCUGCACAUGCUGUGUGACUGUAACUGCAGUGACACCCAGCCCUGGGCUCCCCACUGCAGUGACGGCCAGGGGCACCUACAAUGCGGGGUGUGCAGCUGUGCCCCUGGCCGCCUGGGUCGACUCUGUGAGUGCUCUGAGGCUGAGCUGUCCUCUCCGGAUCUGGAAUCGGGCUGCCGGGGCCCCAAUGGGACAGGGCCUCUGUGCAGCGGGAAGGGAUGGUGCCAGUGUGGACGCUGCAGCUGCAGUGGACAGAGCUCUGGGCGUCUGUGCGAGUGCGAUGAUGCCAGCUGUGAGCGACACAAGGGCAUCCUCUGUGGAGGUUUUGGCCGUUGCCAGUGUGGAGUGUGUCACUGUCACGCCAACCGCACAGGCAGAGCAUGUGAGUGCAGUGAGGACACGGACAGCUGUGUCAGCCCCGAAGGAGGGCUCUGCAGUGGGCAUGGAAACUGCAGGUGCAACCGCUGCCAGUGCUUUGAUGGCUACUACGGUGUGCUAUGCGAUCAAUGCCCAGACUGCAAGACAUCAUGUGAGGCGCACAGGGACUGUGCCGAAUGUGGGGCCUUUGGGACCGGUCCCCUGGCCACCAACUGCAGCAUGGCUUGUGCCCACGCCAACGUGACCCUCACUUUGGCCCCUAUCCUGGACGAUGGCUGGUGCAAAGCGAGAACCCUGGACAACCAGCUGUUCUUCUUCCUGGUGGAGGAUGAAGCUGGAGGCAGUGUCCUGCUGAGAGUGAGACCCCCAGAGAAGAGAAGAGACCACACCCAGGCGAUUGUACUAGGCUGCGUGGGGGGCAUUGUGGCAGUAGGACUGGGGCUGGUCCUGGCUUAUAGGCUCACCGUGGAAAUCUAUGACCGCCGAGAAUACUGGCGCUUUGAGAAGGAGCAGCAGCAGCUCAACUGGAAGCAGAGUGACACCCAAGAGGGUCGCCUACUGCUACAAUCUUGCAUCCCCUACCUCAAGAGUGGGGGUUACCCACCCUCAUAUACAAUAAAGGAGCAUGGCUCACCUCGGAGCAUGGCUGUCCUAUUGCUUUUCUCCAUGGCCAAAGCAGGCUGUUGGAGCCUGGGCUCAGGCAAGUUCACGUUUAUUCCUUCUCAUGCUACCCAAGGGCAGGGAGAGGUUCUCAAGGGAGAGUGUGCAGGAGAGCUGGUACACAGCUGCCUGGGAAGCAGCUGGGCUGCGUGGGCUAGUGAGUUCUCAGGUAAUGCUGAUGAAGAACUAGAGACUGCACUUUGAGGAACCCUGCAUUUGCUGGUCUCUAACCUCAUUCUGUCCUGCUGUGCAUGUUUUUUUUUCUUUUAUUCAGAAAUGGUACUGUUUUUACUUCUACUUUUUGCUCCUCUGCCAAGAGAGGGAAUUUCAAAAUGGUUGUUUAUAAUGUGCUGGAAGUUGUGGGGUGGUUAUAUUUGGGGGGAAAUAGAAAAACACUUUGGCCCCAGUGAAAAAGCUUCCCCAAAGGAUUUUCUUCCCAAAGAGGAAAUGGUGUGUAGAAAAGCCCCAUUUUCUUUUUAUUUAAAUAUCCUAAAUAUAUCACAAAGGAACAUACACUGCACUUUAAUGUUAAAAAGAUACAAGUUUAUAACAUCUUAUAAAAACUACCAUUUAAAAGUGAUCUUGCUCAUUUUACAGUCCCCUCUCCCAAUAGCAAAAUAAGUAUAUUAAAAAAAAAAAAAGAGGUGGAGAGGGUCAGAAGAAUUAAGAUAAAAGUCCCAGAGCCAGAGCAGAGGCGAAGAGCAUCUGGGAAAAGGGUUAAGUUGUGGUGGGGCUCCACGCCUCAUUUAACCCUCCAAGGUCAAGUCAUGGGGCACAAUCAGCAGCUAAGGGAUGAUAAGAGGUGGUUGGGGCAUGGACGGAAAAGUCUUGGGGUGCUGGGAAGGGCAGGACUGGUAGGGCCUGGUAGAGCAGCCCACCCAGGAACUGGUGCUCCUCUUCCCAGGUCCCCGAAUUCCACGUCCAGGUCUCUUGAGAGCCUGCCCCAUCUCCCUUUCCCCUUACUCCAAACACACCUGAGGCAUCAUUCCAGUGCUAGACCCCACCCCAGUGAAGGAGUGGGGCAUUGGGCCCAGGAGCCUCUGCAGCGGUCUUAGUCUGGUUUCCCUGGGGUCUAAGUGGGGCUCCUGGGCCCUCUGGGGGCAAAAUCACUCCUUUCACCUCUUUGCUCCUCUUUCCUCACACAUCCGUGGCCCCACAACAUCAGCACCUGGAUAACUGAACUAACCACCUGAUUCUGUAUUCCCCCCAUCUACACCCAGUUCGUGGCAGGGCUGGUUCUGGUAUGGCUCUUUGCACGUCUGUUCCAAAGUUCCCUCUCUCCCGCCCACUCCCCCAGGAAGGAAGCUGAGGCCUGUGGGGUGCCAGGGCAGAUGCUGACCUAAACACACGUUCGUACACCUAUGGGUGUGAUCACUCAUGUGAUUCUCUCUACACAUAUUCCCAACCCACCCAACACCACACAGAUUAGCUGCAAGUGGCAGAGAGCAAGGCCUCCAAUUUCCAAAGUGCUCUUUGGAGGGCAGAGUUUUCUAAAUGUAUCCUCCUUCCCAGAAUAUAUCCCCAGAGGUGAGUGACAAAGUUCAGACCCAGCAGAACCCUCUAAUAGGAAGGGGGCUGCCUCACAUACACAGAGAUGCUCUGCUUGCAGGGAACAAGAGGGCAGAGACAGGGACUGAGACCUAGGUUCUGGACCACAGCAAACGGGAGUGCCAGCAUAAAGCUAGAUGAGCACAGGGGGCACAUAUUCCCCCAUGCAUCCCUGAAAGGAUCUCAGAUGCCAUCAAGGGAAAUCUAAAGGGUGUUAUGCCCUUCUUUUUCCCUGACAACCCCUCCUCUCCAACUCUUUCAGAAUAGGUAAGAGCCAGGAGUUUGCCGCAGCUAUUCCUUACAUUUUGGAAAACAAAAUCACAUUUCCUAGAGGUUGCCAUUCUCAGCUCCCCACUGACAACUUGGUCAGGUUCACCAAGUCUCCAUGAUUACUCCAUGAUUACCUCCCCUGCCACAGGUCAGCGCAGGCCACAGUGCAGGACAACUAAACCCUACAAUCUCCCAGAGCAGGAAGAGGGUUUGUAUUUCACUUUAGAAAAUUCAUGUUCACAAGCUUUGGCUUGGGUUAGAAACACCCUAAUCACCAGCCAGAUAAAUGAAUCUAAAAAAAUCCCCUCCAAUCCCCUAAGUUGAGUUCUUUGGCUCCCGCUGGAACUCAAGCACCCUUCAGGUUUGGGGAAGGUGGGAGAGGCUGUUUUAUGCUCCUCCUCCCAAGCUGGGGGCCAGAGAAGGGUUUGGCUCAAUGAUGUAUCUCUCUCUCUCUCACACACACACACACACACACACACACACAGUUACUUUUACACACACCCCUGGUUACUUUUACACACACCUGGUUACUUUUACACACAUACACACACACACACACACACACCUGAUUACUUUUUUGGGGGGUGGAUAGGGUGGUGCUGUUCGAGCAGAGGAGCAAAGAAUAUGGUCAAGAACAAACCCUGCAACAGGUUUCUUCCUCAGACCUUUCUCCACAGCCAUCCUGACACACCCCACAAUUCUUUAUUGGGUAGGGAUGGCCAUCAAGAAGGAAGCCAAGAUCUUGUUCUUUGGGACUAAAGGCCAGACCCCGAACUCCUCUCCUCGAAUAUAGUGAUAGGACUUGGGCAGGGAGAACAGCUCACACUGCUCAACAGUCAUGUCAGGGGAUACCAAAUUCCUUUGUUUCUUGAAUAGUUGUUACUCAGCUUGGGACUAGACUUGGGUUGUUCCUAAGAUGACACAAGAAGAGCAAACCCACUUUAACAUUCAUAACUCCCUGCUCAACACCUUUGUGGGGCUUAGGAAUCAAUGGCAGCGAGGUAGCCACAGCUACCUCCAAGAUCAGAUGCCCAAAGACAGAAAGAAAGGGCUUCAUGGGCCAUUCUCACCCAUUUCCCCCAAAAAGCAUGUGAGCUGACCCCAUAAGGUACCAGUGUGGCAUGGACCACUACAACACCCAUGGGCAUAACUCUUGCUCUUCCCUGGAGGAAAUUUUAGGUGCCUGUCCACUCUUUUUGGAUCCAGCCCUUGUCUGUUCCUCCCACUGUUUUUCCUUUUGUCCCUAUGGUGCAUAAGGAGGCCCAAGUAACCUCAGCUGCCAUCCUUGAUCCUAUUCUCCUUCAAACAAGAGAUGAGGUGCAGGGCUGUGGAGCACUGAGGAUCAACUGCAACUAAAAACUCAAUUUUGGGGGAUGGUUGGACCAGCCACAGUCCCUGCUUUGACCAUGACUCUAUGCCUCCAUAUUACCUGUAUCCACAGUGCACCUGUAGAAAUUGCUUUUUGUAUAAACAAAAACAAGAACAGAACCAACCAACAAACAAAUGCCUCUCCCCAAUCUUUUCUGUUUCAGCUGCCAGCUGGAGUCCAAGGUUGUGGGAGCCACACUUUAGUCUUGGUCCUGUACCUUGAGUCCCCCACCUGUGACCUCAGCCAAGGUCGAGGAACUAGCUUCCCUACCCAGGAAUGCUGCAGGAACUUCCCCGAGAUACUCAUAGUCUCAGAUUAUUUACAGAGCUGAGGCUCUGGGGCUUCUGUCCCCUGAUGCACUCUUCGGGUCUCCCGGGUCCACUCCUCCAGGAGGGGGACAGGUACAGACAGGGCGGCGGUGGGACCAUCAGACCAGAGGUGUGCUCUUCGGUAGAUUCUUCUGAUCACUCCCACCACCCAGGGCCCCUUGCACCUAUAGAGAAAACUGCCCGUCGGAAGUCUUGGACUGGCACCCUUGGCACAUCCGUUUGUGUCUGAGUAAUCGAUCUGUCCGAGAAAAACACUGAGAAGAAAGGGAGGGUUAAGUGCCUGAGAGAAGAGACUCAGCUACCUGUUGGCUAGCUCUGUCUUCCCCACACAGGAAGUACACGUCCCCUCGGCAGGGCUACAGAUGGCAUAAACGUAGUGGUUAAGCAUGAGAGCUCCCAAGUCUGAACCCUGGCUCUCCCACUCAGUGGCUGUACGGCCUUGGCCAAGCUAUCUAACAGCCCUGAGUCUGUACGUUCAUCUGUGAAGCGGGGCUAAAGCACCUACGCACAAAAUGGCUGCUUCAUUCAACAAAUAUUUAUUGAGGAUCUAUCUCAAGGCAGGUACAGUUCUUGAGGCUGAAAAAGGAGUGGAGAACCAGAGGGACAAAGUCUCUGGCUUGUGGAGGUUUAAUUCUAGCGUUUUGCAGAUUCUAUGGAAGAGCAUGAAGCAAAGCUUCCAGGAAGUGUCAGCUGUUAUCAUUUCUCAUCUCUUGUUCUUGUUUUGCUUUGGUGCUGGCUCUUACAUUCUCAUCAGAUCAGAUACUGACCCCAGGGCAGAGAUUGUAUCUCUUCCUCCAAAGUGCACCAGCUCUGAAGUUCACCGAAUUCUGACUCUACCUUUGAUCUGCUGUGUUCUUGGGAAACUUAACCUCUCUCUAUCUCAGUAAUGAGGACAGCACUGCUACCUUAUGGAAGUAAUGUGAGAAUUAAAUAAAAUAAUCUAUGUCCAGUAUGUUCUCACAGUGCCUGGUACCCACUAAGUACUUGAGAAAUGCUAUUACUAUUAUUAUAAUUAUUGUAAUGGCACCUCUCCAUAACCAGCUGCAUUUAAGGCCAGAUAUACCUCACUGUGAGGUGAAGUAUUAACUCUAUUAUGGCCAGGAAUGCUAGCCCCUGGUCAGGCAGGGAGUGGGAGCUGACCCUGGUUCUUAGGGAAGGAAAAGUAUGUGUAUGGGGCUGGAUGGAUGACAUAUAAACUUACCUGAUGACACCGUUCACACUGGUAGGGCUUUUCACCACUGUGCACUCGCUUGUGACGCUCCAAGUGGUACUUCUGGAUGAAGCGCAUAUCACAUAUGUCACACUCAAAUGGCUUUUCACCUGGCCCAGGUGGACAGAGAAGUUAAAGUCAGGAGGCAUGGAUGGCAGGGACUUUCUUCUAGGUAUUUUCCCAGAAACCUCUAAUUUUUAGCAGUGUGCAGGCACCUAAGGGGAAGGGUCCCCAAAGCUGGUCUCAGUGACACUACAGAGCUAUGCAAUCUCUCUAAUUCAUUCACUUACUUUCUUCCUUUAUUUUUAAUACUUCACAAUAAACCCAAUUAGAGCUAUACACAUGCACAAUACAAAUCAUAGCCUAUUCGUUCCCUUUGAAUAUGAGCAAGAGGCUUACCUGUAUGAAUAAGGAUGUGUCUCUUGAGGUGGUAACUGCUCCUAAAGGCUCCAAAGCAGUGUUCACAAAUAAAAUUUUUGGGACUCUUUACUUGAAAAGAACCAUUUUGUUCCACUACCACCACCUGGGGGCAACAAUCAGACAUGUCAUAAGGCUAUCCCUCUGGACCCAUUCUACUCUGGGCCUAUUCCCAAUUGGGACAGAGCAACCUGAUGCUGUUGUCUCCUACUCCCUUAAGAGUUAAGGGACCCUCUGAGAAAGGAGGUGGGGUGGGUAAGCUGUGUACCCUGUCAAAGCCACCACUCUGUACGUAAUCCAAGGGGAAGUCUGCCUGCCCCUCUGCCACAGGAUCUAAUGCUCCCUUGACCCCCUUUUUACCACAAAUGUUUCAGUGAAGGCAGAGAUCAACUACCAAAGUGGUCUCUAGAUGCAAUCAGAGUGACAAACUCACUGGCUAUGAGGGAACAAGGUAUCUUGGAAAAGCUCCAGGUUGAGCCAUAGAGGGAAGAAAAAAGGUGAUGACCCCACUGCUCAACUGGACUAAUUCAGGGAUUACCCCAUUACCUGCCUUUUUAACAGUCUUUUUUGAGUGAGAGGCCUCAGCCAAGCUGUCAUCAUCUUUGCGGCUCCGGGACUUAUCGCUGUCUUUUCGGUGCCCCUUUGAAUACAAAUCAAAUCUAAACUCACAGUCCAUCUCAGAACACAAGAUAGGAGACCAAAUACUGCUUUCAGACAAUUUAUGAAUUGGAGUAAACCACCUGCCCCAAAGGAUUAGAGAAAGCACUUAUUUACUUCCUCUCCCUGUACUCUGGUGUUAAGGGGCUGCAGGCACAGAAAAGACCUUCAUUGGCUCUCUAAAACACUCACAUGUGCUCAUUCCCUGGCUGGGGUCCCUUUCCCUUAAACAGGAGCAUUGAGGAAUCAAAGCAUGGCAUCUCCUAGCAGAGAGCUCGGGCCACCCGACCCGCAGGUGCCCCAACAGACUCAAGCGCUGUACCUGACUUGAGCACCUCAGCACAUCUGGGCUACCUGCCCGCUCUCCAUUCUCGGCCUGUUUGCUGGCGAUCUGGCUCAGCAUCAUCUUCUUGCUGGCUGCAGUAGGAACCAAACUCACACCUGCUAGGCCUUCACAAGCCAGGAGACUUGCCUAAGUUGAAAGAAGAUGAGGUGUCAGGUCACCUGGCAAGGCAGGGCAAAAAUAGGCUGCCUUCCUCUACACAACCAUCUUUUACACCCAGCUACACUGCUUCUCUUUAGGGAGUAUCCCUUACCGUGAAACCCAGCUUCCUUCAAGAGUCCUCCCUAACUCAUCUCAUCAGGGCUGAGUUAUUUAUUUUGUUACCGUCAGCAUUUGAAUAUAGAUCAAAUGAAUAAUCAAGUAUUACUGAUACUUUGGUCAUUAGCACUAGGCUAGGUACAGUCAGACUGUGUGUGGGUCUACAUGUUACUCUGAAGUAUUUCUAGACCUUCUGAGUGUGCAUGAGGGUCUGGCCUGCUGACCCCCAGAAAUAGGAGAUUUCUAGGAGACCCUCCUGCUUUCUUUCUCCAUGCCACUCAGAUUCACAGAGCUCACUCUGACUGGCAGACUUCAUUGGUGCCAAAUACAUAUUCUAUCAGGUCCCAUAAAUGUUUAUCAGUAAAAGUAGGUCAUUUUGCCUUGUAGAUCUUAAAUUCCCUAAGUGUUGUCAAUUAUAGCAAGAUAUAAAAAUUAAACCACUUGGAAGGAUUUUGGAAUUGAACAGUUUCUCUUGAUCUAUACUACUUAUAUGUGUGCAUAUCCAUAUUUUUCACAUUCCCUGCUGCAUGUUUAUUUUAAAAACAACUUCAGCAAGGGGACUUAAGCAAAAAUUUUAAGCUCUUUUUUCAUGGUUGCAUUCUUCAAACUGACUUUGUUUAGCUAGGACUAGAGAAUAUAAUUUUCUUACUGAAUAAACACUUUUAAAGAAAUAGUUGACCAGUAAAUUUCCACAAGUAAUUUAUAAAGAGAUUCCUUUUAGAUAAUCAGUAUAUCCUGGGACACCUUCUCUCCCCUUUAAGGACUUUGGACUGAAAGGUCUGGAGGUAAAAAAGUAAGUCCUGCUGUUUGCACUGUAUAAUCUUGAGCAAAUCACUCCAUCUCUUUAUGCCUCGUCUCCUUGAAUGCAAAGUGUUUAUUACAGUAUCUAUCCUCACAGGGUUAAUGAGAAUUAAAUGCUCAGCCCAGUGCAAAGUUAGUGAUUAAUGAAAGGCAGUUUUCUCAGAAUAAGAGUGAACACGAUGCUGUAAAGAGUGUUGUAGAUAGACAAGGGAAGAAGAGACUGAAGGGCCCGUACUCUGCAUGGAAAGGAGGAACCAACACAUGCAGCUGGAAGAAGGCCAAUUAUACUGUAGUCAGACUGCCAUCCUGGUGAGACCAGCAGGGGAGGGCCCCUGGAAGAAAGCUGGGAGCAGCUCUGGGGAUGCCUGUAUAUAGCUUUUCUACCCAGACAACUAUAAUAACCCUUCAGGUCAUCCUGUCUUUCAAAUACAUCCUGUAUCCCCACAAUGACAAUUACUUUGUAAAUAAAUUGAUCUGAUGUCACCCUGCUGCUUAACAUUCUUCAGUGUUCCCACUCCCUACAGAAGAAUUAUCUAAUUCCUUAGCAAUCCAUAAAAGGCCCUUGGGUAGUACUCUGCUUACUUCUCCAGGUACCAAUCCCUGACUUCCCUAUCGCCAUCUAUCUUAUUUCCUGAGCACUCCCCCACUUGAAUCCUUUCCUCCUAACUAGUGAAUUACCUGCAGCACUCCUAACCUCCUCACAUUUUCCCAUGCCUCUGUGUCUCUGCCCAUGCACUUCUCCUGCCUGAAGGCCUUGCUCUACUUGUGUAUCUAGCAAAAUCCUAUGCACUCUUCAAGCUUCAUCUUUUUCCGUCCAGGCAGAGGUAUCAUUCUCUUCUCUGCAGUGCACAUACCUCUACUCUUGCACGUUCUUGCAAUGAACAGAUUCACUGAGUCUCUACUACCAGCCAGCUCUUACAAAAGGUGUUAUAAAGAUAGACUGUCUCUCCAUCUCCCCUCAUCCUAGCCCAACUAGCCUGGAAGCUUGCUGGGGACAGGAACAAUCUUAUUCAUCUUUAUAUCCCCAGCACAAUGCCUUGCAUGUAACAGGAACUCAAUAAAUUCCUGUUGAAAAAAACAAAGCAUUCAUGAGAUUGUUCACCCCCUCAUGCCCCUCAGCACUUACUGUAUACUAAGUGUAUACUGAGUACGUGUUGCUUUGCAAAUGUCCCAUCAGUGCCUGUAAUGCAGUAUAGCCUACCUCCUUCAUUUAACUGGAAGCUCCCUGAAGGCAGGGGCUGUGGCCAGUCUCCUUUCCUUCCUCUAGAUCUCCCCCUGGUGAUCAGUACAGAGCUUGGCUCACUGGGUUGUUCAAUAUGUUGACUAAGGCAGCAUUCAACAGUGAAACUGCAAACGCCUCCCAGUGAUCUUGAAGGAGGAGGAUUCUAGAGCUUUUUACCUGAGCCAUGCUGACUUCUCACUUAAUGCAACCCAAAAGUUCAAGAAUUUCUUGAUCCACCUUUCCUUAAGACACUGUUGUUUGAAGAACUGUCACCAAAUCACUGUAACCACUUCUUUGUGUCCCUUCAGUUCUGCUGCCAUAUUGAACAGCCUUUGUCUUCAGAUAGAAUGUAGUUUCCGCCAAAGGAUGAUGAUAGAUGGUCCAAGAAUCCCUGGAUUCUGCCAGGUUCCUGACUACUGUUUGAAGAAAUAGAGUCUGCCAGUUUGGUUUUCCAAAUGAAUUCUCUCGAUGAAGUUCACGGUGUGUUUGAGAAACCUAAAACCAGAAAGGGAGAUGAGCUGUUAGGUGCAACAUUCUCAAGUCAUACAACCUGGAGUGGACUCCCCGCCCUUUUUGUUUUUUUUGCUGGACACUGUGAACCUCAGAGAGAAGCCAUUAGUCAAGCAGUUUUUUUUCUAGCUUAAGAGAAGACACUGAUCUCCUGGGCACAGUAGGGCAGCCAACAAGAGCAAAAGUAUGGAGGAAUGGAAAAAGGGGGCGGAGGCCCUUCGGGGCUUUUGUGCCGAGUGGGCCGGCCCGACAAGCUCACACUCUAUUAAGGCGGCCCGACCGGAGCGGAGAAAAGCUCAGCGGCUAUCGCUAGGCGCUCGGGUGGCAGGCAGAAACCGGAAAGGCAGUGCGUGCCCCGGCCGGCCCACAGGUGUGCGUUCCCCGUAUCCGCCCGAAGGUACGCAAACUCGCUGCGGAGGUGAAAGGAGGGCAGACGUAACCCAGCGCUGCGCCGUUCCCUCACUCCCCCGAGCAGGCCAGCCAGCCAGCCAGCAGCCGCAGCAUUAGCCGCACGAAGACGGCGGAGAGAGCCGGAGAGCGCCGAGGAGCGCGCGAGGCGCGGCCUCCCGCUGUCUUUCCCGCCGCGCGGCGCCUCCUCCAGGCCCCAGCACGCUGUGCCAACCCCGUGGCCACCGCUGCCCCUGCCGGGACCGAGGCAAGUUUACAAACACCAACCCGGGGCCCGUUUCCCCGGAAGCACUUCUCCCUCCCCCUCGUCCUCUCCGCUGAGCAGCAAUAUCCACUUCCGGGCUCGGGAGCCUGGACGGGCGGGGGCAUCCCGAAGCGGGGUGAGGCUGAGGACGCAAGGAGGGGGGCUGCUGGUGAGUGGACUGUGCCGGCGAACAGAAGGACGGAAGGAGGCAGGCUAGCAGCCCGGCGCAUGCGCCUUAUUGCUGGCGCGCCCCCGCGGCCAUCUUCACUGAGGGCAGAACGAAGGCCUUGAAAUGAUGGUGUGCUAGGUUCUCGUUGAUAGGUUUUGGUAGGUGAGCUGUUUAGGGCUUCUUGAAAAAGCUCCAUCAGUUUCCCUUCCUCGCGGACGUUCACCCUGUCGCUUCUAAGCCUGGAUCCCCAAACAGAGCCAGAAAAGUUCGUACCCGACCUUCUCACGUAACUCGGCCGAUGUUGUCUUUAGUUGAGCUUGCCAUCAGGCCCAGUUCUGCAGAUUUUGCAGCCGCCCAGCUAGUUGGGAAAGGAGUUAACUUUCUUUGCACUCCUGCCGUGUGCACUCAACUCCAAUCUGAAAAUGGGUGCCCCGGCAGUGGUCUGCGCAUACCGAGGCCAGACUGGUUCUCUUAUACUGCUUCCCCCUUUAUUCCGGACCGUCCAACGUCUAACAUUGUCCUUCUCCCCGAGAAAAAGCCAUAGGAUUCCCUUCAGGAAACUGUAGUCUAGUUGGAGACUUGGCGAUGAAGGUUGGCCCCUGGGCCCGGCUGCAUAUGGAAAAUGGAAACUCAAGUCUUUCUUUAAAUUGUACUCCCAACUUUAGCUGUUAGGGAGGGGUCCCUCUGGCAAGGUACACUGGAUGGAAGGAAAUGUCGAUUCCAUUUAGGUACCAGCUUCUGCUGUAGGUGCGGUCAGGUUGUGAGUUUAGGAUAAUUAAUGGAGAUACCAAAAGAAUAAAAAAGACUUUCUGUACACAGGUUUCAUUUCCUGAGCUGUCCAUGUUUUGAGCCAUAAACAGCAAGUCCUUAUGCUUUUAGCAUCAUCAUAAAGUUGAGAUAAAAUGAGGGAGAAGUGUCAUCAGAAGUCUUUACUAAAAAAUUAGCUCAUAUUUACUUUAACAAAUCCACACAACACAAAAGAAUGAGGCAAAAAUGUUUAGUUUCCCCCACUACUCACCCAUGUUCCUGAAGUUAGUCACUUUUACCAGUUUGGUGUUUGUAUCCCCAGGCUUUUUUCUGUGUUCAUAAAAAAUCCAGAACAUAUUUAGUGACUACUUACUAUGGACCACACAAAUGUAUUUUAGAAAUUUUCUAAGUCGGGUUACUUUUUAAAAAUUGUUAGGUAGGGUUCCAACUUAUGUUUAUACUUUAUAAUUUGUCUAGACCCAUCCUGAUGAGCAUUUAGGUGAGUUCCAGUUUUUUUGAUUUAUAAACAAAGCCAUGAUGAACAACAUCCUUACAUAGUUAUCCUUUUGCACUCACAGAUUUGCAGAUAGGAUAUGUGCAUUUAAAAUUUUAAUAGUCUAUGAAACCGACUUUCAAAAGUUUGUAACGAUUUACACACUCAGAACUGUGUGAAUGUCCACGUUUCCUAUAGUCCUGGAAAGACUGGAUGCUAUAAAUUCUUUUUAUAUAGUUGCCAAUUUGAUAGAUGAAAAAUAGUAAUUUCAUUUUUUAAUUUGCAUGCCAUUAACAGUUGAAGUAGAGCAUCUCUUGUUUUUUUUGACCAUUUUAAUAUUCUUUGUAAACUGAGUUCAUAUCUUUAGCCUGUUGAGGAAAAAAGUAGAUUAUGUGUCUAUUUCUUAACAAUUGGUAGAAAUCUUCUGUAUUUUAUUAGUUUUUGUAUUUGUCAUAGGGAUUUAAAAUUUUCUCUUAGUUUUUCAUUUAUCUUUCAACUUAAAAAAAAAAAGUUAUGCUGUAUGGGAAAAUAUUUGAAACAUUCCUAUCAAAAAUAGGAACAAGACAAGAAUGUUUACCAUCAAAACUAAUAUUCUGCUAGCACUGCUGAUCACCCAAAACUCUUAUUAUUUUCAUAUGAUAUAUUCAUCUACAAAGAGAAUCAGUUGACAAACUACUAAAACCAGUGAGUUCAGCAGCAUGGCCAGAUAAAAGAUUAAUAAACAAAAAUUAUGAAUAAAACAGAACAAUAACCAACUAUAAAAAAUCAUAAAAUUUCAUUCACAAUAAAAAUAUUACAUUUCUAGAAAUUUUAACAGGAAGCUGAAAGUCACAGCUUAAGAAAAUCAGACUGUUUCAGUGAGAGACAACAAAGGUGUGGUUAAGUGGAUAGUUUUACCAUGUCCAUGAAUAGGACAACUGAAUAUUGUAGAGACAUAAAUUUUUGCUGUAGAAUUUACCUGUCAGUAAAUUCUAGUACAACAGAACUUUGCAUUUGAACUUAAGCUGAUUUUAAAAUGUACAUGGAAAGUUAUAACUGCAAGGAGAGCAAAAAACAUUUUGGAAGCACUGAGUGGAUAAAAUAAUGAGCAAGGAAAAAUAAAGCCAUGAGUUAUUUUAA